GUUUUCCAUUGCUGUUCCUUGCUCCUGUAUCACAACAUAUCAAGGCUGCCAAGUAAAUGAAGAAUGAAUCACCGCACACUGGUCAACAGCAGACAGGGUCCUUCCACAACCACAUACUUAUGCCAGUAAAAGCCACAGCUUUUCUCCUCCAAUCCAAGAAGCCUAGACUGCAGUCACCAUCUCAACACACCAACCAAGAGAAAGGCGGAUGGCUCAAUUCAAUAUGGAAAAUUGCACAAUAAAAGUUCCAGGACAUGAAGGCUGCAUACUGUGAACGUCAACCUUCAGGGCACCGUCCUGCGCAGAAGACUUUCUACCCUAAGAGGGAUGGCUGACCGCAGACACUCACAACCAGGUGAGCCCAGAUAAAGGAGUUAUUUUUGGUGUCCCUGCCCCAACAACCCAGGUUACUUACAUUUAAAAUGUCACUGGAGCUACUGUCAGAUAUGUGAUUUCUAAUUCUGUUUAUCUUUUUACAGCACAGACGCCUCCAACCUCAGACUAGGCCCUUCACAGUUGCUGCU